CAAUGCAGGUGGUGCGCGCCAAAAUUUGCUGGCUCGCUAAUUUUGGCGCGCAAAGUAAGACCCGCCCACGACUCCUGACUGCGUUUCCCUCCUAAAGUUUAAAAUGUGCAGUCAGAUCUUCGCUCUGGUCGGAACAACGCUGCUGAGAGGACGAUAGCAAGGAGUCUGACCAACACACUGAGGGUCUCUGAGAGACCUGAGGACUUUCACCAAACUCUGGUGGAGCUGAACAGAACAGUCCUGAACAGUCUCACUGCCUCUCACACCCCAAGUGUUCCUGUGAGUUCAGUGUUCAGAACUGUGCAGAAAGUUGACCAUGAAGAAGCUUCACCUGGAGCAAACUCUAAGGAAAGAUACCUGGUCUCACAGAGACCAAACAAAGGUGAUGAACCAGCCUGAAGCAGGUCGACUGUUCUGAUGAAGCUCCUUCAGGUCGUGCAGGUGUUUGUUGACAGUUUCACCUGCUCAGUCAGCACUGUUGUCUUUACUGGCUGUUUGCCUCUUCUCAGUGUCAUUGUCAAAGUAUAUGAUAUAAAUGUAUAGAAAUGUAUAUAAUGCAUAUUUCGCUUCCUGUAUAUACAGUGCACAUAACGUAUUGUCCGUUCUAUAUUUUAUUUUAUUUUUUCUGUCACUCAACUCUUUUUCAAAUCUUUUUUUUAGUAUUUCUUUAGUAUUGUACUUAUUGUAUGUCUGUAUGUCUGUCCACCUUGCUAUUGUGAUAAGUAAAGUCACAGUAAAGUCUAAAGUCUAAAGCUUUAACUACAUUUAAUAUAUACAAUUUCUUCUGUGAGAGAGACCAGGGCUACUGUUAGCAUUUAAUUUGUUUUUAUCUGUGGCUAAUUAUAUUUGCUUUUUCCCCCUUCUGUCUUUGAGAGGCUGUUUUAAUGUCCUAAUGUUUUAGUUUGGAUUAAUUUAUUUUUCUUUUCUUUUUUCAAUUUUUGAUCUCAUGGUUUAGAUCUCUAAAACUUGUUUUAAACUGAAUACUUGCUAAUAUAAAAUAGAAAACAGGACCUGAACUAAAUCCAGAAGGCGUUUCAGUCAGGAUACUUUACAGACAGCUCGCACCAGUAUUUGACAGAUUUUUCUCUGAAUGCUUUUUUUGGUUUCAUCUAAUUCAAAGCCUAAAUAUGCUCUCUGAACUUUGAAAAUUAAUGUACAUGUUUUUUUGUGAUCACAGCAAAGGAAAAUGUUUUUUCAUUUUACUUUUUGAAAUACAUUCAAUAUGAUGGCAACAUAAAAGUGUUUGUUCUAUCUGAGCUUCUGCUGUGUUGUAAACAACAGAUGAGAGCGUGUUAACAUAUAUAAAGUCUAGGAUCGUACUGUAAAGUGAGUGAAUGUGCAGGUUGUGUUGAUCUCUGAGCAGGACAAGAAGACAAGCUAGCAGCUUUCUGAUUGGUCGGCGCCGGUGACGAGGCCUGUUGCAUUCAUGACAUGUUGGAAAUGACAGACUUUUCAUUUAAAUAUGAACAACUGUUCUUAUCAGCCUUGUAGUGACAAAAAAUAAAUAAAUAAAUAAUAAUCAGAGUUGGAUGGUCACCAAGCACAGUUACUCAGGUACUUGGGUCCAUUAUGAGGUUCUUGCCAGCUAAAAUGUUCCAGACUAGCAACUAAGAUAAAUGUCACUUCAAGCAGCUACGUUGUUCAUUGCUGCUAACAUGUUAAUGCAUCACACACAUAAUAAACUGGCCACAUUGAAAAUUUAAGACAUUUAAAAGGGUCAUUAUGUGGUUUUGGAAGGGAAAUUUUAAACAGAAGAGAGACUGAAUAAAGUGAAUAAACAAACUGA